CCUCCUCCAUCAGCUGCGGACAGAUGAAGUGGACGUGACAGUCGAUGGCGCCCGCGGUGAGGAUGCGGCCGUUGCCCGCGAUGAUCUCGGUCGACGGACCGACGACCAGGUCCGGGUGCACACCCGACAUGGUGUCGGGGUUGCCCGCCUUGCCGAUGCCGCAGAUGCGGCCGUCGCGGAUGCCGACGUCGGCCUUGAUGACGCCCCAGUGGUCGACGAUCACCACGCCGGUGAUGACGGUGUCGGGAGCACCGUCGGCGCGGGUGGCGCGCGACUGGCCCAUCGAUUCGCGCAG
rfam:Nocardia soli strain Y48, complete genome.